ACGUUAGCGGUGGACGGGUGAGUAACACGUGGGUAACCUACCUAUAAGACUGGGAUAACUUCGGGAAACCGGAGCUAAUACCGUAUAAUAUUUCGAACCGCAUGGUUCGAUAGUGAAAGAUGGUUUUGCUAUCACUUAUAGAUGGACCCGCGCCGUAUUAGCUAGUUGGUAAGGUAACGGCUUACCAAGGCGACGAUACGUAGCCGACCUGAGAGGGUGAUCGGCCACACUGGAACUGAGACACGGUCCAGACUCCUACGGGAGGCAGCAGCU
rnacentral:rRNA from 1 species